rnacentral:rRNA from 1 species
AUUGAACGCUGGCGGCAGGCCUAACACAUGCAAGUCGAGCGGAUGAGAGGAGCUUGCUUCUCGAUUCAGCGGCGGACAGGUGAGUAAUGCCUAGGAAUCUGCCUGGUAGUGGGGGACAACGUUUCGAAAGGAACGCUAAUACCGCAUACGUCCUACGGGAGAAAGCAGGGGACCUUCGGGCCUUGCGCUAUCAGAUGAGCCUAGGUCGGAUUAGCUAGUUGGUGAGGUAAUGGCUCACCAAGGCGACGAUCCGUAACUGGUCUGAGAGGAUGAUCAGUCACACUGGAACUGAGACACGGUCCAGACUCCUACGGGAGGCAGCAGUGGGGAAUAUUGGACAAUGGGCGAAAGCCUGAUCCAGCCAUGCCGCGUGUGUGAAGAAGGUCUUCGGAUUGUAAAGCACUUUAAGUUGGGAGGAAGGGUUGUAGAUUAAUACUCUGCAAUUUUGACGUUACCGACAGAAUAAGCACCGGCUAACUCUGUGCCAGCGGCCGCAGUAAUAC